UGUCAGUGGCCAGGGCUGUGCACUGUGACAUUGCACUGAUCCAUGAGGAGAAUGUGCCAUGACUGAAGGAAAUCUCUGGAUGCUCGGCUACAGCUGCUGUGCAGCUCCUGGGAGCUCUGGACAAAUAGCAAGAGACGUGGCUCUAAUUGCACAUCAGCAGAGCUGAUCCCUCAAGGAUAUUGCCUGGCUAAGGGAAAGGAGCAGGACAUUCUCAGGAGUCAAACUGCAUGGCCAGGGAGGAGGACACCCCUUUGGUAUUUGCACUUUGCUGGAAUCCAGCUGUGUGAGUUUGGUUUCAAGGUCCUGCUCCUUCCUUUGAGGACACACGUGCCAGUCCCUGGGUGUGGGGAAGACAGCAAAGGCAUCACUGGGACAGAAAACAAAAGAUUGCCUCCAGCCCCUCCCUGGGAGAGGUUUCAAAGCAGUUAACAAGGGAGGGUGAUACCACCAUCAGUGUUUGACAGGGGAAUUGAGGUGGGAGUGUUUGGAGUGGCAAAGCCAGACAGAUUUUGGUGGCUGAGCCUGAGGCUUGGUCCUGGCCCUGCAGUCUGUGCCCUUGCAUCUUCCUUUCUGACACCCCACUCACAAAAGACCCUGGUGGUCCUGAGCAGCACCAAGAGGAAGAAAGGGAAUCAUCAGAUGCUCCAGGGCAGACAUCCCAUCCUGGAUGUGUUUAACUGCAAUCCCAGAGGAGUCCUGCACGCUGUGGUCAUCUGGGCAGCUCUGACCACAUGCCCAGCUCCAGGAGGUGCUGCCCAGAGCCUCCCGUGGGCUUCACUCACUGGGUAAAGAAAAGAUCUCUGUGCACAAGAGCUUUGUGCAAUAAAAGACAUGACAAAGGUCUCAUAUCCAACCCUCAGCCUCUGAGUGGGCUCCUCACCUCUGACAAAGGCUUAGGGAGGUAUUUAAGGGGGACAAGAGCACCUGUAAGAGGAGAGCCUUCAUUCCCCAAUUCUUCAGCAGACUGAAGCUAAACUGAAGGAUGGUUUGAGUUUAUUUUAAAAAAUCCCAAGACUCUCUUUUC